AACCAAAGUUAACUCUGACUGUUCUCACAGUAACUAUAUUCUAACCAUAAAAGUUAAUCGUACUUAAGUAUGAAUUAGGUAUCUCUUGUGUAACUGCGGUAGUUACAUUUGAUAGGUAUCCAUCACGGUAACCAAUAUCUACCAAUUAGUAAAAUCACGUAGGCGCUCUAAAAAUUAACUAUUUCGGGUUAACCUUUGGGCAUCAUUGAAGAUAAACAAUUUCAUAAAGACUACAAAAGUCAACUGCGGAAGAUACCGAGUGGAUAGGUGUCAAUUUGCUUUCAUUUGAAAUCAUCGAAAAGGUAACUUAAGAGGUUAUAUUCAUGAUCGCAUUGAAAGUUACCCAUUGAUCGAAAAUGAGAGACGAAAAAAGUCAUGUAUCCAUUAUAUAUUAUUUUGAAUUUGACUUUUAGACUGUUGUCUAUAGAUUUACACAGAUAAUAAAAAAGUUAACUUCUGAUUAUAGUAUAAAACAAAAUCGUACGGUUAACAUUUUGUUACACGGUUGGAAGUUUAAUAAUUACAAAUAUUAUAUUGAAUUUAGACUUAGGGGCUCGUCAUUUUAAAUAUUUAACCGCACUUUAUGAUUUAAAGUGAAAUGGUGCUGUUAGAUUUUGCUAUUUUUUUUUAAUACACGUCUAUUUUUUUUCAACCAGCAUUUGGAAUCUGCUCUUUUGGGGGCUGACUUUUGAGAAAUUUAUUCGGCAAACAUAAAGUUAGCCUCUAAGUAGGAUUUAGCGUUAUAUUCGAACGAAAACAGUACAAGAUUAAACUUAUAUUUUAAAUCGCAGUCUUUAAGGUGUCUUAUAGGUAAGAAAAAGUUUGCUCUUAUUGAUGAUUUAAAGCAAUACCAAAUGGUUGGUUUUUAUGAAUUCUACAGCUUUAUGGAGUUUUAAUAAUUACAAUACGUGCCGACAAAAAGGUACUCUUUAGUCAUAAAGGUUAAUGUAAACAUAAAAUGCUGAUUGGCAGAAAAGUUUAAGGAUUAAGUCUACAAAGUGUUGACCGGUAAGUGUUGCAGGUAAAAAUAUUACCUACCUACCACAAAUGGAUUUCUGUAGGUACUCGAAAAUUUUGUAAUUGCAUCUCUAAUGGAACUUUACACCAAGAAGAAACUAAAUUGUCGCUUUUUUAUUUUGAUGAUUAUUAAAGUACAAUUUUUAUGUUAUUAGUUGAACGCAGGUUUCGAAUAUUAUAACUUAAAAUUAUCCGGAUGUUAACAAUACCUACUACUAACAAAAGAAAACUUAAAAUCUUACUAGAUACCUGUUCUAAUGAUUCGACCUUUUCCCAGCUUAAUAUUUUUGCUAAGUACCUGAAAUUCUCAGAUGUACAGUCGGUACAUUACCCAUCCAAAAACGCAAAAAUACCUUUUACAGAACGGUGGUGUAUCUUGUAAGUGCAUCAGUUAUUUCGCAACGCUGAUCUUAAUUUAAAUUUUUAAAGGUAAGUAAAUAUUUUAUUGCAAAAUGUUAUAUACCACAGCAGUUUUAUUGUAGAUGUACCGAAAUUAUUCAAAAGGGCAUCGAUAUCGCCUUAUUAGACAAACAAAAUCUAGAAUCUUAAAUAAUAGUUCCAGUGUUCCUUUAGUUAAAUCCACUAACUUUUCUCAGCAAUCCGUACCUAGAAGCCCUUCCCCUGCUAUAACAGAAAAAAUUCAGAAUACUAGAGACAUUAGUUCAAUAAAUUUAGAUAAUUUUAAUUCACCGUUACAAUUUCAUGGCAAUCAUAUAACAGACAGCGCUACAUUCAUUAAAGAUGAAAUACGACAGUGGGCCCUUGAAUUUAAUAUAAAUCAAAAUGCGCUAUCUAAUUUAUUAAAAAGGCUAAAUCAACAUAAGUGUUUUGUUAAUGUUUUACCCCAAGACGCCAGAACCCUGUUAGGUACUCCAAGAGUAAUUAACAUAAAAAAUAUAAACCCAGGAAAUUAUAUUCAUUUCGGGCUAAAAGAUAAUAUUAAAAAGAUUUUAAUGCAGCUUGAUCCCAUUCGUGUCAUUGUUACACUAAAUAUAAAUGUAGAUGGGUUACCCUUAACUAAAAGUACAAAUGCACAAUUAUGGCCAAUUUUAGCGAAUUUGCAUGAAAUAAAAAAUUCACAUUUCAUUGUUGGUAUAUACCACGGUUGUAGUAAACCCCUGUCUCCAAAUGAAUAUUUGAAAGAAUUUGUGGAAGAAGCAAAAUUUAUUUUAAAAAACGGUAUAGAAAUUAAAAAUAGACAGUGUCGUGUAGAAAUUAGGGCAUUUAUUUGUGAUGCGCCCGCAAAGGCAUACAUAACUAUGACGAAAGGCCACAAUGCCCAUUUUGGUUGUGGAAAAUGUGAACAAGAGGGCAAAUAUUAUAAUAAUAGAGUAAUUUUUUUAGAUACAAACGCUACAUUGCGAUCAGAUGCAAAUUUUUUAAACCAAGUCCAAGAAGAGCACCAUAAGGGUGUUUCAAUUUUAACAGAGCUAGGUAUCGGCUUGAUUACAAGCUUUCCAUUAGAUUACAUGCAUCUCGUAUGCUUAGGUGUUAUGAAAAAAAUGAUAAAAUUAUGGAUGAGAGGUAGUCUUAAAUUUCGUUGGCAUUCGAAAAAAAUUGAAACUGUUUCGUUAAAACUCGAAAACCUUAAAAAAUUUAUCCCCAAAGAAUUUUGCAGAAAACCCAGAACCCUUAAGGAAGUGGACAGAUGGAAAGCUACUGAAUUUCGUCAAUUUCUACUGUAUACCGGACCUAUCGUUUUAAAAGAUGUUUUACCACAACAUUAUUAUGACCAUUUCAUUUGCUUACAUAGCGCAAUUAGUAUUUUAGCUUCGAUUUCUCUUAGAAAAUAUAGAAAAUUUGCAAAAGCCUUAUUAAUUUACUUUGUGGAACUAUUUGGUUCAUUAUAUGGAAAAGAACAAGUUUCGUACAAUGUACAUAAUUUAAUACAUCUGCCAGAUAGUGUUGACACUUUCGGUAAUAUUGAUUCGUUCAGUGCAUUUCCAUUUGAAAGUUAUAUGCAGACUAUUAAGAAAAUGGUUAGGAAAUCAGAAAAACCUUUGCAGCAAAUUGGUAAUAGGGUUCAUGAAUUAACUUCCAGAAUAGUAGACAGGCAUAAUGACCAGGAACUACCCGUUAUGCAAUAUCCAAUUGUACAUCACAAUAAUAUACUGACAAAUACUCACAAAAUGUUAAUUACAAAGGAAUAUAUUGUUAUUGCUAAUUCAGUGGCAAAUCAAUGCGUUCGAGUCCAAGGUGGAGUAUACAUUUUUACAGAAUUAAUCGGUUAUCAUGAAAAUUCCUUGGUAAUUGUAGGUAAGGUGUUUGAAAAGGUCAAUAAUUUUUAUACACACCCAAUUGAAUCUAAAUUAUUAGGAAUAGUUCUACUAGAAAAUUUGUCUCAGACUACUGGUAUUUGGCAUGUUACUGAUAUAUCAGAAAAAAUGUUUACCAUAAGCAUAAAUAAAGGUACAUACGCAGCUUUCCCACUUUUACAUCAAAUUACUUGUUAGCAGCUUUCCCACUUUCACAUCAAAUUACUUGUUAACAUAGUUUUAUUAUUUAGUUAGUUAUUUUUAUUAAUAUGUGUCUCUUGUUGUAAUUGAAGUACAAAAUUGAAGUAUAAAUUGUAAACAGAAACUAAAAUAGCUUUAAUUUACAAUGAAAAGUUCACUAUUUAUUUCAGUUGUGACUAAACUAGUUUUGGAGUUUGAACUCCAUCUUCAGGUACAAAAAGUUAGGUAAUCACAUUAAUAAUUUAUUUUAAACGAUCAUAUUCUGUUAUAAUUUAUUUAUAAUACCCUAAUAACCUCAUGGAGAAAUUUGUCAAUAUUAAGAAAUUGCUUUGUUAAUAAAAUUUCUUCAUUUUGACUUUUCUUCGAUUGUACGCCACUUCUACAAGUAGGUACCUAAUGUAUUUCAAAACGAAAAUGUUUAUUAUGUUUUUUAUUUAGAUGAGUCGUUAUGUCGUUGUUCAUUUUACAAAGGAGAAUAGUGUGUCAGCUGUUCCUGAAAAGUGGGUUGUAGGGGACAAAUGUUUCUGGCCGAAAACAUCUCUUGUAAGGCCGUUAAUUAAACAAAGCGUUAGUCCGAAAUCUUCUUGGGAACAAUUUGCCGCAAAAGUCUUCCGUGAUAAACAAGGCAACGUUAAGUACUUUGAUUCACUUGAUCUAGCAGAAGAAAAGGCAGUGCAAGCUGAAGAAACGUCCGACUUAAGUACGGAUGAAGAUAGUUCAGGGCCUAGUCGCAUCAGUACAGGACUACAUCCUCCUCCUGUUCCAAGUGUUAGCAAUUUUGAGUUGGAGGACGAUUUGUCAGAAGAUGUUACAAUGGAAGAUGGAUUAAAUGCUACAUUGACUCCGUUAAUCGAGGUUCCUAUGUCUGCAAUCGCGUCUUCCUCACCAAUUCGUCAACAGCGAUCGCCAAUUUCCAUUCAAACACGAUGCGUAUGUGGAGGCAUUUCAACAAGUUUAGAAAAACUUGUCGAUCAGGUUGCAUGCAUGCAAUCAGAUAUUACGGAAAUAAGGGAGUUGUUACGUAGCGAGCGAACGGUUGGAAACAACUUAGCACAGCCAAAUAUAAAAUUGCCCGAUCUUCCAGCCAAAACACUCGAGGAAUUUUUGCUAUUAGAGGAAUACUCGAAGAUUCCUCAACAGGCCAAUGCAUUGAUAAAACAUUUAUCUACAGUUGGUGGUAUAAAUGUUGGAAAUGCCACAAGAAGGAUUUGGUCCCUUAUUGUGACCGAUUUUGUUAGCAGCAGAUUGAGCUGGAUCGGGGCAAAUGAAAAAACCAAGUUGCAAAAUUUAAAUAUAAAUCGAAUAAUUAUAGUUGCUGUAAGAACAAUAAUACCGAACGCCACUGACAUAGAAGUCUUGUCUGCAACCAAAGUUUGGAUUCGAAAAUCGGCAGAAAGGAUAAGAAAAAUGGACAAAACUAUUUAAAUGUUAUUUAUAUUUGUCAUAUUAUAGAUAAUAGAUACAUAGUGACAUGUAUAAGUUGUUAAAGAACCAAUAUAGCGUGUGAUCCUGUA